rnacentral:rRNA from 1 species
CUCAGGAUGAACGCUAGCUACAGGCUUAACACAUGCAAGUCGAGGGGCAGCAUUUCAGUUUGCUUGCAAACUGGAGAUGGCGACCGGCGCACGGGUGAGUAACACGUAUCCAACCUGCCGAUAACUCGGGGAUAGCCUUUCGAAAGAAAGAUUAAUACCCGAUGGCAUAAUUAGACCGCAUGGUCUUAUUAUUAAAGAAUUUCGGUUAUCGAUGGGGAUGCGUUCCAUUAGGCAGUUGGUGAGGUAACGGCUCACCAAACCUUCGAUGGAUAGGGGUUCUGAGAGGAAGGUCCCCCACAUUGGAACUGAGACACGGUCCAAACUCCUACGGGAGGCAGCAGUGAGGAAUAUUGGUCAAUGGACGAGAGUCUGAACCAGCCAAGUAGCGUGAAGGAUGACUGCCCUAUGGGUUGUAAACUUCUUUUAUAUGGGAAUAAAGUUUUCCACGUGUGGAAUUUUGUAUGUACCAUAUGAAUAAGGAUCGGCUAACUCCGUGCCAGCAGCCGCGGUAAUACGGAGGAUCCGAGCGUUAUCCGGAUUUAUUGGGUUUAAAGGGAGCGUAGGUGGACAGUUAAGUCAGUUGUGAAAGUUUGCGGCUCAACCGUAAAAUUGCAGUUGAUACUGGCUGUCUUGAGUACAGUAGAGGUGGGCGGAAUUCGUGGUGUAGCGGUGAAAUGCUUAGAUAUCACGAAGAACUCCGAUUGCGAAGGCAGCUCACUGGACUGCAACUGACACUGAUGCUCGAAAGUGUGGGUAUCAAACAGGAUUAGAUACCCUGGUAGUCCACACAGUAAACGAUGAAUACUCGCUGUUUGCGAUAUACAGUAAGCGGCCAAGCGAAAGCAUUAAGUAUUCCACCUGGGGAGUACGCCGGCAACGGUGAAACUCAAAGGAAUUGACGGGGGCCCGCACAAGCGGAGGAACAUGUGGUUUAAUUCGAUGAUACGCGAGGAACCUUACCCGGGCUUAAAUUGCAUUUGAAUAAUCUGGAAACAGGUUAGCCGCAAGGCAAAUGUGAAGGUGCUGCAUGGUUGUCGUCAGCUCGUGCCGUGAGGUGUCGGCUUAAGUGCCAUAACGAGCGCAACCCUUAUCUUUAUUUACUAACAGGUCAUGCUGAGGACUCUAGAGAGACUGCCGUCGUAAGAUGUGAGGAAGGUGGGGAUGACGUCAAAUCAGCACGGCCCUUACGUCCGGGGCUACACACGUGUUACAAUGGGGGGUACAGAAGGCAGCUACCUGGUGACAGGAUGCUAAUCCCAAAAGCCUCUCUCAGUUCGGAUCGAAGUCUGCAACCCGAAUUCGUGAAGCUGGAUUCGCUAGUAAUCGCGCAUCAGCCAUGGCGCGGUGAAUACGUUCCCGGGCCUUGUACACACCGCCCGUCAAGCCAUGAAAGCCGGGGGUACAUGAAGUACGUAACCGCAAGGAGCGUCCUAGG